AGAUGAGAGAUACACCCCGCCCACGGGAGACCGUGGGCGACACCAGGCCGGGGCCUCCCCAGCUUCGAUCUGGUCGUGCCCUCGCGCACACAACCGGAGUCUCCAACUCUGGAUCUCCUCACCGAUCGGA
rfam:Streptomyces cyaneogriseus subsp. noncyanogenus strain NMWT 1, complete genome.